UACGUAGGGUGCGAGCGUUAAUCGGAAUUACUGGGCGUAAAGGGUGCGCAGGCGGCGUCGCAAGUCAGGCGUGAAAUCCCCGGGCUUAACCUGGGAACUGCACUUGAAACUACGAUGCUGGAGUAUGGCAGAGGGAGGUGGAAUUCCACGUGUAGCGGUGAAAUGCGUAGAGAUGUGGAGGAACACCGAUGGCGAAGGCAGCCUCCUGGGCCAAUACUGACGCUCAUGCACGAAAGCGUGGGGAGCAAAUAGG
rnacentral:rRNA from 1 species